AAUGGACGGAAGUCUGACGGAGCAACGCCGCGUGUAUGAUGAAGGUCUUCGGAUUGUAAAGUACUGUCUUUGGGGAAGAACGGUCAUCUUGAGAAUAUUGAGGUGACAUGACGGUACCCAAGGAGGAAGCCCCGGCUAACUACGUGCCAGCAGCCGCGGUAAUACGUAGGGGGCGAGCGUUGUCCGGAAUUAUUGGGCGUAAAGGGCGCGUAGGCGGAUUUUUAAGUCCGGUGUGAAAGAUCAGGGCUCAACCCUGAGAGUGCAUCGGAAACUGGGGAUCUUGAGGACAGGAGAGGAAAGUGGAAUUCCACGUGUAGCGGUGAAAUGCGUAGAUAUGUGGAGGAACACCGGUGGCGAAGGCGACUUUCUGGACUGUAACUGACGCUGAGGCGCGAAAGCGUGGGGAGCAAACAGGAUUAGAUACCCUGGUAGUCCACGCCGUAAACGAUGAGUGCUAGGUGUAGAGGGUAUCGACCCCUUCUGUGCCGCAGUUAACACAAUAAGCACUCCGCCUGGGGAGUACGGC
rnacentral:rRNA from 1 species